rnacentral:rRNA from 1 species
AGGACGAACGCUGGCGGCGUGCUUAACACAUGCAAGUCGAGCGGAAAGGCCUUUCGGGGUACUCGAGCGGCGAACGGGUGAGUAACACGUGAGUAACCUGCCCCUUACUUUGGGAUAACCCUCGGAAACGGGGGCUAAUACCGGAUAUGACCUGUGCCGGCACCGGUGUGGGUGGAAAGUUUUUUCGGUGGGGGAUGGGCUCGCGGCCUAUCAGCUUGUUGGUGGGGUAAUGGCCUACCAAGGCGACGACGGGUAG